GCUGCACCUAAAACUGUAUCUUAAUCCAACAUCGAGGUCGCAAUCUUUUUUAUCAAUAUGAACUCUCUAAAAAAAUUACGCUGUUAUCCCUAAAGUAACUUGAUUUCUUAAUCAUUAAUAAUGGAUCAAUAAUUCAUUAAUUUAUGUUUAUUAUAAAUUAAAAGUUUAACAAAUUUUAAUAUCACCCCAAUAAAAUAUAUAAAUUUAUAAUAAUUUAAUUUAUCUAUAUAAUUAAAAUAAUUUAUAUAUAAAGAUUUAUAGGGUCUUCUCGUCUUUUAAAAUUAUUUUAGCUUUUUAACUAAAAAAUAAAAUUCUAUUAUAAAUUUAUAUGAAACAGUUAAUAUUUCAUCCAACCAUUCAUACCAGCCUUCAAUUAAAAGACUAAUGAUUAUGCUACCUUUGCACAGUUAAGAUACUGCGGCCAUUUAAAAAAUUNNNGNGGNCAGGCUAGACUUUAAAUUAAAUUCAAAAAGA
rnacentral:rRNA from 1 species